rnacentral:rRNA from 1 species
GAUUGUAAACUUCUUUUAUAUGGGACGAAAAAAGGUCUUUCUAGACCCCUUGACGGUACCAUAUGAAUAAGCACCGGCUAACUCCGUGCCAGCAGCCGCGGUAAUACGGAGGGUGCAAGCGUUAUCCGGAUUCACUGGGUUUAAAGGGUGCGUAGGCGGGCAGGUAAGUCAGUGGUGAAAUCCUGGAGCUCAACUCCAGAACUGCCAUUGAUACUAUCUGUCUUGAAUAUUGUGGAGGUAAGCGGAAUAUGUCAUGUAGCGGUGAAAUGCUUAGAUAUGACAUAGAACACCCAUUGCGAAGGCAGCUUACUACGCAUAUAUUGACGC